GCGCUGCUGUGCUGGGACCUUGCCUUCCAGUUAAUAGGGGUAUUGUCCCCGCCCUGCGGGAACAAGGCGAGCUCAGCUGGCCUUAGUCACAGGUCAAUUGCUUCAUACAAAUCCGCAGGGAUCCGCGGAUGCUGUGACAAGGGGCGGGCGAGGGAGGGCUCCGCGUCAGGGGCAGACAGCUCCAGGUGCUGGAGGCUGCCGCGCGGAGAGGUCCGCCCAGCCAGGAUGUGCGUUGUCCUGAGAAUCGAAUUACCCGGAACCCCAGAGCUCACCCUCUCUGAAGGAGAGCAGGUGCCUCCUGAGAGCAGGGCUUCUCUACCUUGGGGCACUAUGAACAUUCUGAGUGGGGCGCCCUGAACGAGUGCCCAGAUGCUUGUGAGGCCCAGAUCUUGGGGUGUGCAGCCAGGAAGGGCUCUGCUAGCUUUCCCACCUCCCUCCUGACCUCUUCUGCCCCUCACUGGACCCAGCCCGUUGGCUUCAGGAUGGGCCCCACGGGACAUGCUUUCAUGGAACCUGAGGAAAGAAUGCACUUACAACAGCGCCGGGAGCACAGAGGCUUCCCACUACCCUUUCCGAGAAGCACGUCUAUUUUCUCUAAUUUAUUCAGUGCCGCUGUGCGUGUGUGGCCUCUCAGUGCCCACUUUGUUCAUCUCUGCUCACUGGGGGAGCCAGGACACGGAUCCAGGUUUUCUGACUCCAGGUCUCAGGCUUGCUCCAUAGCGCCACCUGCUGGUGACGGCAAUCGGUAGGCACCCAAAUCAAGACUCAGAUUUCCUCAUCUCAGAAGUUGUCCACUUCUUCUCCGACCUCCACGGUAACUCGGAACCACACCGUGGAGUUAUCCCUGUGUCCUCUUUCUCGGAAGUUCCACAUCCAACCCCUCAGCAGGUCUCAGCGGCACUCUCACCACCUCCUCUGCUCUGUUCCUGUUUCUCUUGGAUGGUCGAAUGUUUCCUAAGGAGUGUCUGCUGCUUCACGCUUGCCCCCUGGAGUGGCAUCUAAAAGGUGCAGGAUACCCUACAACUAACAGGCAUGAUGCCAUCAAGACAUCUUGAGCCUGGCUACCUCCCGUGGCCUGUAUUUUGUCCACAGGAAACUCGCGCAGUCUCACUACAGCAAAUUGAGGUGGUAUGGGGUGCCUGCUGCUGCCUCUCUCUUCACCUUUCCACAGAGGGCUGCCCCAGCCUGACUCCCACUUCCAGAGUUUCUCCAGCCAGGAGAAUCCUGAAAUCUCUGUAAAUAAGCAAUCCAGGAGCCAGAGAAUCAUGGGAUCUCAUAUAAACAAAUCAUCAAGGAAAAACACAGCCAGAGUCUCCAUUUGGUAAACCUCCGUGACUGGGGAUCCCCGGCCACCCAGAAAGCAGUAUUGCCUGCCAUGCAUGUCAUCACUGAUUUUUACUGCUGCAGCAGACUCCGUCAGACCUGCCUGCUGCUUCAGCGAAUUGUUCAGUGCACACCACCAGCUACCUGCUGUAAGCAUUCACACUCCUCUACCUGCCUGGCAGCAUUUCUCAGCUGAACACAGGCCAGGCCAGAAGUGCCAGGGAUUUAAUGCCCUUAGAAGUAGCUCUCUACCAAUGACAAAUGGAGCUGGUGGAUACAUUCUCAGCUUCCUCCCCUCUCAGGUGGAACAGCCCUGAGAUGUGCUCUAUGCAAUCUCCCACAAGUCCCCAGCAGGCUCAAGCUCCCAUUGUCCAACCCUGGUAACCUGCUCAUUGACACCCCUGUCUUGCCUUCCCUUCCUGGCCUCACUUUCUCACUCUCUUACUGUUGCCUCCUGAGAUCGCAUCCAAAAUAAAUGACCUGCACCCAGAU
rnacentral:lncRNA from 10 species